CGGCGUUAGCAGCCCUUUUAGAAUGUGUCGGCCAGGUGUUCCGGCUGCUACUGGAAAGCCCCC
rnacentral:snRNA from 1 species